rnacentral:rRNA from 1 species
UGGGGAAUUUUGCGCAAUGGGGGAAACCCUGACGCAGCAACGCCGCGUGAGUGAUGAAGGCUUUCGGGUCGUAAAGCUCUGUCAGGUGGGGAAAGAAAUGAAAGCGGUUAAUUACCCGUUUUUCUUGACGGUACCCACAAAGGAAGCACCGGCUAACUCCGUGCCAGCAGCCGUGGUAAU